GGGUUGUGAGGUUAAGCGACUAAGCGUACACGGUGGAUGCCCUGGCAGUCAGAGGCGAUGAAGGACGUGCUAAUCUGCGAUAAGCGCCGGUAAGGUGAUAUGAACCGUUAUAACCGGCGAUUUCCGAAUGGGGAAACCCAGUGUGAUUCGUCACACUAUCAUUAACUGAAUCCAUAGGUUAAUGAGGCGAACCGGGGGAACUGAAACAUCUAAGUACCCCGAGGAAAAGAAAUCAACCGAGAUUCCCCCAGUAGCGGCGAGCGAACGGGGAGGAGCCCAGAGCCUGAAUCAGCAUGUGUGUUAGUGGAAGCGUCUGGAAAGGCGCGCGAUACAGGGUGACAGCCCCGUACACAAAAGCGCAUGUGCUGUGAGCUCGAUGAGUAGGGCGGGACACGUGGUAUCCUGUCUGAAUAUGGGGGGACCAUCCUCCAAGGCUAAAUACUCCUGACUGACCGAUAGUGAACCAGUACCGUGAGGGAAAGGCGAAAAGAACCCCGGCGAGGGGAGUGAAAAAGAACCUGAAACCGUGUACGUACAAGCAGUGGGAGCACCCUUUGGGGUGUGACUGCGUACCUUUUGUAUAAUGGGUCAGCGACUUAUAUUCUGUAGCAAGGUUAACCGUAUAGGGGAGCCGGAGGGAAACCGAGUCUUAAUUGGGCGUUAAGUUGCAGGGUAUAGACCCGAAACCCGGUGAUCUAGCCAUGGGCAGGUUGAAGGUUGGGUAACACUAACUGGAGGACCGAACCGACUAAUGUUGAAAAAUUAGCGGAUGACCUGUGGCUGGGGGUGAAAGGCCAAUCAAACCGGGAGAUAGCUGGUUCUCCCCGAAAGCUAUUUAGGUAGCGCCUCGUGAAUUCAUCUCCGGGGGUAGAGCACUGUUUCGGCUAGGGGGCCAUCCCGGCUUACCAACCCGAUGCAAACUGCGAAUACCGGAGAAUGUUAUCACGGGAGACACACGGCGGGUGCUAACGUCCGUCGUGAAGAGGGAAACAACCCAGACCGCCAGCUAAGGUCCCAAAGUCAUGGUUAAGUGGGAAACGAUGUGGGAAGGCCCAGACAGCCAGGAUGUUGGCUUAGAAGCAGCCAUCAUUUAAAGAAAGCGUAAUAGCUCACUGGUCGAGUCGGCCUGCGCGGAAGAUGUAACGGGGCUAAACCAUGCACCGAAGCUGCGGCAGCGACACUGUGUGUUGUUGGGUAGGGGAGCGUUCUGUAAGCCUGUGAAGGUGGCCUGUGAGGGUUGCUGGAGGUAUCAGAAGUGCGAAUGCUGACAUAAGUAACGAUAAAGCGGGUGAAAAGCCCGCUCGCCGGAAGACCAAGGGUUCCUGUCCAACGUUAAUCGGGGCAGGGUGAGUCGACCCCUAAGGCGAGGCCGAAAGGCGUAGUCGAUGGGAAACGGGUUAAUAUUCCCGUACUUGGUGUUACUGCGAAGGGGGGACGGAGAAGGCUAUGUUGGCCGGGCGACGGUUGUCCCGGUUUAAGCGUGUAGGCUGGUUUUCCAGGCAAAUCCGGAAAAUCAAGGCUGAGGCGUGAUGACGAGGCACUACGGUGCUGAAGCAACAAAUGCCCUGCUUCCAGGAAAAGCCUCUAAGCAUCAGGUAACAUCAAAUCGUACCCCAAACCGACACAGGUGGUCAGGUAGAGAAUACCAAGGCGCUUGA
rnacentral:rRNA from 1 species